rnacentral:rRNA from 1 species
AAUAUUGGUCAAUGGGCGAGAGCCUGAUCCAGCCAUGCCGCGUGCUUGAAGAAGGUCUUCGGAUUGUAAAGCACUUGAAGUAGGGAGGAAGGGCAGUAGGUUAAUCCCUUCCUGUAUUGACGUUACCGACAGAAUAAGCACUGGCUAACUUCGUGCCUUCAACUGCGGUAAUACGUAGGGUGCAAGCGUUAAUCGGAAUUACUGGGCGUAAAGCGCGCGUAGGUGGUUCGUUAAGUUGGAAGUGAAAGCCCCGGGCUUAACCUGGGAAUUGCUUUCAAAACUGACGAGCUAGAGUACGGUAGAGGGUAGUGGAAUUUCCUGUGUAGCGGUGAAAUGCGUAGAUAUAGGAAGGAACAUCAGUGGCGAAGGCGACUACCUGGACUGAUACUGACACUGAGGUGCGAAAGCGUGGGGAGCAAACAGG